UGCCUCGGCCCUAGAGAGGCAUGGCGACAGGCUCCAGACCUGUAGAUCGCCGGUUCGAAUCCGGCCGUCCCCACCA
rnacentral:tRNA from 1 species